UAACCAAAUUGUUUGUUCAGAAUUAUGACUCUUAUAUUCAAACAAUAAUCUGUGCAAGUAAUGACAUGGAUGCAUAUGACUUUUUUUAAAAAUAAAAUAUUCUUGUGCUGAUGAUGCUAUAUAUAUGAACCCUUCUUCUUCAACUUUUUGUGUGUGUGUCAUUGCUAAGAACAACUGCAAAGAUGCUUAUAUCUAGCAGCACUUGAAGGUUAUCUCAAAAUUUCCUAA
rnacentral:lncRNA from 1 species